GACGUAGGGUGCAAGCGUUGUCCGGAUUUACUGGCGUAAAGAGCGCGUAGGCGGUCCAUUAAGUGUGAAGCUAAAUCUCCCGGCUCAACCGGGAACUAUUUCGCAUACUGAUGGGCUGGAGUGAUGCAGAGGUGGAUAGAAUUCCCGGUGUAGCGGUGAAAUGCGUUGAUAUCGGGAGGAAUACCCGUGGCGAAGGCGGUCUGCUGGGCAGUGGGCUCGAAAGGGCCCUUUAACCGACACUGAGGCGCGACAGCGUGGGGAGCAAACAGG
rnacentral:rRNA from 1 species